AGGAUGAAGUGAACGAGCGCGAUCAGCGCAACGGGGUUCCUCGUGAGUAAUAAUAAGAACGUCCCCGCACAGGCAAGCCAUCCAAGUCACCACUUCAUCCCGACUACAUUCCAAGACGAGAUGCGCACACGUCAGCCUCGAAGGCGGCGGUGGAUCGCUUCAUGCGGACGGCUGUCAGAAUAUGCAAGUCGCUCAAUGAGGGGCAAGGAGCAUCAUCUGUUCCUGAACAUGAUAAUGCAGUAACAGCUACUGGUCUGCACCAUGAAGCACAUGUUAGCUAACGAGACCAAGACGCACAACUGGCACAACCACACACGAGCAAAACGAAACCAUGUGCUUGCCAACCAGCGCUUCGCGCGUUUGCCGUUCGGCGGCGCCACCGAUUCCUGAAAACGUGCAAUGCACGUUAUGCACGUUUUCCACGUGGAAUGCUAGGACGUGUGUUCAGUUAUACAGACUCUUGCAUUUUCCUCCAGUUUCGUCGAUAUCUAUUAGGGUAACGGACACUAUAUUGUUAUAGGAAAAUUUAGUGACGUUAACAACACACAACACUGCUGGCCAACCGUGUUUGUGGAUACUGCAUUAUCUACAGCGAAGACUGCAAUGGACUAUCCGUGAAUAACUAUACUUCUGCGAGGAAUGCCUUAGCCACCGACGGACAGGCUCCUGUAUGUGUGAUGUGAUAGAAAAAGAAAAAGAAGGGGGGAUUUAAACAGGUACAAAAGGUG